rnacentral:tRNA from 1 species
GAAGAUAUAGCUCAGUGGUAGAGUGUGCCUACCAUGCACAAGGUCCUGGGUUCAAGCCCCAGUACCUCCA